UUCUCUUCUCCUUUCUCUUUUUUUUUUCUUUUUUUCUUUUUCAAAAGGAGUAUGUAUUUAUAGACAUCCUUCUAUUUUUUUCAUUCAUUUUUUUUCUUUUCUAUUUUUCUUUUCUUUUUCUGCCAACUUCUGAAAUAUUACAAAUAUAAUUAUUCAACCCCACACAACUCCAAACAAGACUCUUCCAACCCUUUGAAUAAAGUGAUAACAUUG
rnacentral:lncRNA from 1 species